UUGAACCUUCGUAUUAGGAACAUAACAAUACUCUUGUAUUUAAAAUAUUUUGAGAAUGACAAUGAAGAAUACCAGAAGCAACUUUUCUCAUUGUUUUUCUCGAAUUGGAUAUCAUAUCGGUUGUUAUCCUCAGUUCUACGUUUUUGCUUUCAUGUUGACAACAGUUGUCCUGGCAACUGGAUUCUUCAAUUUACAUAUUGUGAAGAAAGGCGAAUAUCUGUAUACUCCGAUUAAUGGAAGAGGAAAAGUGGAAAGAAAUUCCGCCGAAACAAUUUUUACUUUGAAUACGUCUGCUAGUCUUGAUUUUACCAGAAUGGUUAGAUUUGAGAAUGUGGUAUUCGUUAUAGCAUUAUCUAAAAAUAACGAUUCCUUUUUGAAU